UACGUAGGGGGGCUAGCGUUGUCCGGAAUCAUUGGGCGUAAAGCGCGCGUAGGUGGCUUCGUAAGUCCGUUGUGAAAGUCAAAGGCUCAACCUUUGAAUGCCGAUGGAUACUGCGAAGCUAGAGUACGGAAGAGGCGAGUGGAAUUCCUGGUGUAGCGGUGGAAUGCGCAGAUAUCAGGAGGAACACCAAUAGCGAAGGCAGCACUCUGGGACGUGACUGACGCUGAGACGCGAAAAGCUAGGGGAGCAAACAGG
rnacentral:rRNA from 1 species